rnacentral:rRNA from 1 species
ACUAACCCUAGCCCAAACCCCCAUCAACCUAAUCAUACCUAAAACCAAAAUAAAACAUUUAGUACAAUGAAAGUAUUGGAGAAAAAAAUCACCCAUCAGGAGCUAUAGAACAAGUACCGCAAGGGAAAGAUGAAAGAUUAAUUAAAAGUAAAAACAAGCAAAGAUAAAACCUUGUACCUUUUGCAUAAUGAAUUAACUAGAACACCCCUAGCUAAACGAAUUAAAGCUAGAAACCCCGAAACCAAACGAGCUACCUAAAAACAACUUCAUGAGUUAACCCGUCUAUGUAGCAAAAUAGUGGGAUGAUUUUUAGGUAGAGGUGAAAAGCCCAGCGAGCUUGGUGAUAGCUGGUUACCCAAAAAAUGAAUUUCAGUUCAACUUUAAAUUUACCAUAAGAAUAUAAAAUCUAAACGUAAAUUUAAAAUAUAGCCAAAAGAGGGACAGCUCUUUAGGAACGGAAAAAACCUUACAUAGUGAAUAAACAACCACAUACUUAACCAUUGUAGGCCUAAAAGCAGCCAUCAAUAAAGAAAGCGUUCAAGCUCAACAUUAAAAAACAACUAAUUAAGCCACUUAUAAUAAAUUCCUAUUUUACACAUUGGGUCAAUCUAUUAACUUAUAGAUGAGAUACUGUUAAUAUGAGUAACAAGAAGUAAUUCUCCAAGCACAAGUGUAUAACAACUCGGAUAACCAUUGAUAGUUAUAGGACUAUAGAUAAUAAUCCCCUAAUAAAUUUAUCUAAAAUUAAAACCGUUAGCCCAACACAGGAGUGCUCUAAGGAAAGAUUAAAAGGAAUAAAAGGAACUCGGCAAACAUGAAUCCCGCCUGUUUACCAAAAACAUCACCUCUAGCAUUACAAGUAUUAGAGGCAUCGCCUGCCCAGUGACUGAAGUUAAACGGCCGCGGUAUCCUGACCGUGCAAAGGUAGCAUAAUCACUUGUUCCUUAAUUAGGGACUAGUAUGAAUGGCUGGACGAGGAUUUAACUGUCUCUUAUUCCUAAUCAGUGAAAUUGACCUUCCAGUGAAGAGGCUGGAAUAACACAAUAAGACGAGAAGACCCUAUGGAGCUUUAAUCAUUUAGCUUAAUUAUCACAAGCAACAAACCUAUUGGACUAAAAAUAUUAAUAAUAAGCUAAGAAUUUCGGUUGGGGUGACCUCGGAGAACAAAAAACCCUCCGAAUGAUUUUAGCCUAGACUCACAAGUUGAAGCAACCUACAAAAUCUUAUUGACCCAAAUAAUCUUGAUCAACGGACUAAGUUACCCUAGGGAUAACAGCGCAAUCCUAUUUAAGAGUUCAUAUCGACAAUUAGGGUUUACGACCUCGAUGUUGGAUCAGGACAUCCCAAUGGUGCAGAAGCUAUUAAUGGUUCGUUUGUUCAACGAUUAAAGUCCUACGUGAUCUGAGUUCAGACCGGAGCAAUCCAGGUCGGUUUCUAUCUAUUUACAAUUUCUCCCAGUACGAAAGGACAAGAGAAAUAGAGCCACCUUACACAUAAGCGCUCUUAACCCAACCUAUGAAUAAAAUCUCAAUAUGAUACAUAUGUACAAUCAUUAUUUACCUAGACAAGGUC